GACAGAGGGUGCAAACGUUGUUCGGAAUUACUGGGCGUAAAGCGCGUAUAGGCGGCCCUGCAAGUCGGAUGUGAAAUCCCACGGCUCAACCGUGGAAGUGCAUUCGAAACUGCAGGGCUAGAGUCCUGGAGAGGAAGGUGGAAUGCUUGGUGUAGAGGUGAAAUUCGUAGAUAUCAAGCGGAACACCGGUGGCGAAGGCGGCCUUCUGGACAGUGACUGACGCUGAGACGCGAAAGCGUGGGGAGCAAACAGG
rnacentral:rRNA from 1 species